AUACCAUGAUGAGGGCAAGCUUCAGUCAACUCAUUUAAUCUUUCCCAGGCUUCAGUGAUUUUCUCCUCAUCUUUAUGACUGAAGCUUUGGAUGAGGUAUCUAUAGUGC
rnacentral:snoRNA from 1 species